UACGGGGGGAGCAAGCGUUGUUCGGAAUCACUGGGCGUAAAGGGCGUGUAGGCGGUUCGGUAAGUGGGAUGUGAAAUGCCCCGGCUCACCCGGGGACCUGCAUCCCAAACUGUUGAGCUUGAGUACAGGAGAGGGUGGGGGAAUUCCAGGUGUAGCGGUGAAAUGCGUAGAUAUCUGGAGGAACGCCGGUGGCGAAGGCGCCCACCUGGCCUGCUACUGGCGCUGAGGCGCGAAAGCUAGGGGAGUGAACGGG
rnacentral:rRNA from 1 species